rnacentral:snRNA from 1 species
GUGCUUGCUUCAGCAGCACAUAUACUAAAAAAGAAAAAAAAAAAAUUAGCAUAGCCCCUGCUCAAGGAUGACACGCAAAUUCGUGAAGCAUUCUGUU